GGCCCGGUCGCGGAUGGUCCGCGCCUGCAUGCUAUAAUUCGAACAGUUCCAGUUCUGCAGGACUCGCUCGUUCGAACUGAGCCCGGGCCU